ensembl:snRNA U1 U1 spliceosomal RNA
AUACUUACCUGGCAGGAGAUAUACCAUGGUCACGAAGGUGGUUUUCCCAGAGUGAGACUUACCCACUGCACUCUGGAUGUGCUGGCCCCUGAGAUUUCCCCAAAUGAGGGAAACUUGACUGCAUAAUUUGUGGUAGUGGGAGACUGCAUUCACACUCUCCGC